ACUAGUUCUUUUUUUAAAGAAAAACAUUGAGAAAAAGAUAAUACAAGACAUAAAAAUAUCUUUUCUUGCAUAUUUUUAAUUUUUUAUUACUAUUUUGUUUGAAAUUUUAAGUAAUUUAGUGUUACUUAGACUCUUAGCACAAAUUCAGUAAGUUCUAAGAAUGGUAUAGAUAUACAAACUUGUUUAGAAAGAGACAAGAGAAGCAUACGGUGCAAAAUGCAAACAAAUUUUAUUUUGGUUAUAGAUUAUACACACUCUCCUAUAGGCUCCAGCUACUGCCUAAAAGCCUGUACAAGAGUAGAAAUGUCAAAAAUGGUCUGUUGUUGGCUACUCAAGUAGUUACUGAGUACUUUUAGUGUUGGUCAUAAAGGAUUUUAAGUUUGGCUGGCUAAUGCUUAAUGACUGACCUACUAUAUCAGCAAUGCUAAACCUCUGCGAUCAUCGGUAGGAUUGGAAUCUGCAAAGAUCAGAGAACCAGGUCUUUCUAGCAGUAACUACAGGUGCAGAUGUUGUAUUUUACAUGGAACCGACUGAUUUAGACACACAUGAUUUCAGUAAUUGCUACAUGAUCAUAGUUCAAGGUGCAAAAAAUGUCAUUAAUGCAUGCUAAGAAAGUAAAGUUAAGCCAUUUAUUCAAUACCUUCUUCUAUAAAAAGUUAGUGAAUCUGGAGAGUGGCUAUAAUUAUAGAGCUAUCAAAAGAUGGACUUCACAAAGGAAGCUGGGUUACUGCCUAUUGGACUGUGAUAAAAUAUCUGUCCCCAUACACAAAGACAUACAUUGAUGUUUGGCAGUUAUCAAUAAGAAAGAUCAGAAGUUCCUAUAUCUUGAUUCACUAAAAGGAAGAGAUCCUAAUGUGCUAAGAGCACUAGUAUGAUCCAUUUUUUCUCUUUAGGUUUCAUAUUAUUUCGAUGCAUUUAAUUGAUUGAUCCAAAGGUUAUUAGGUAGUUUAAAUGUUAGAAGAUUUGGAAUUUAAGAUCCUGUUAGGUACUAGACUCAUUUUUCCACUACUUUAUGCUGUAAAUCAUUCUUAUCUUUCUCACAAUAAUAGUUGCCUUGGCUUGAUGCCCACCGUUCCCACUCUUAACCUCUAUAAGAAAUAUCAUCGUAAACAAAGUUCAUAUGAUAUUUUUUUGGCACUUCUGCUGAACUUGUUUAAUAUUGGUUGUAAUGUGCCAGGAAAAGUACUUUGUUGAAGAAGUAAAGGAAAAAAGUGGGAAGGACAUUGAUAUAAGUUCUUGGAACAAGAAUUUGUUGAAGAUCUUCCUGCACAGGAGAAUGAGUGCGUAUUCUAGUAUCUGUUGCAAUACACUUUAGGGAGCAGUACUCGAAGUACUUGUUCUUCAUAAGCUUAUUUCUUAAACAAAAUAACUUAUAUUGUGUAGUAAUUGAUUGUGAGGUAGCUUUAUAGGUAUCUGAGUCUUUUUAUACUAACUAUUUAUUGCAAUUGGUCCAAAUAUUUGGUGAAUUCAAUUAUUAAUUUACACUGCUAGUUUCGUGGUGUCAUAUGCCUUUUGUGUUAGAAUUUGAAUUGUUCCCCCUAAACAAUUUUCUCUAUGUACAGGUUUGAUUGUGGCAUGUUUAUGUUAAAAUAUAUCAACUUCUAUAACAGGGGCUUAAGUCUUUGUUUUGAGCAGGUAAGUCCAUGGAACAAUUUUUUAUCCUUGUAGUUCAUGUUUUAUUUUGAUUUUUCUGUGAUUAAACUCUAGUACUCAGGGCAGUAGUUGUUGGGAUGUAAAAUCUGUUGUCCAUCUGCCUAAAUAUAUGGCAAAAGGCAGAAGUACAUAUUGGAGAUACUCUCACAUGCACAUUCAUUCGU